UACGUAGGCGGUUUAUUAAGUCAGAUGUGAAAGCCCCGGGCUUAACCUGGGAACUGCAUUUGAUACUGGUAAACUAGAGUAUGGUAGAGGGGGGUAGAAUUCCUAGUGUAGCGGUGAAACGCGUAGAUAUUAGGAGGAAUACCAGUGGCGAAGGCGGCCCCCCUGGACCAAUACUGACGCUGAGGUACGAAAGCGUGGGUAGCGAACA
rnacentral:rRNA from 1 species